UACGUAGGGUGCGAGCGUUGUCCGGAAUUACUGGGCGUAAAGAGCUCGUAGGUGGUUUGUCGCGUCGGCUGUGAAAUGCCGGGGCUUAACCCCGGGCGUGCAUGGGAUACGGGCAGACUGGAGUGCUGUAGGGGAGACUGGAAUUCCUGGUGUAGCGGUGAAAUGCGUAGAUAUCAGGAGGAACACCGAUGGCGAAGGCAGGUCUCUGGGCAGUUACUGACACUGAGGAGCGAAAGCAUGGGUAGCGAACAGG
rnacentral:rRNA from 1 species